AGAGUUUGAUCCUGGCUCAGGACGAACGCUGGCGGCGUGCCUAACACAUGCAAGUCGAACGGAGUAUGUAGCAAUAUAUACUUAGUGGCGAACGGGUGAGUAACGCGUAGAUAACCUACCGAACAGAUGGGGACAACACUGCGAAAGUGGUGCUAAUACCGAAUAACCUAUUAACCUCGCAUGAGGAAGAUAGCAAAGAU
rnacentral:rRNA from 1 species